GCUGAGUUGGCAGAGGGUAGUGAGCGUCGGUGGCCGAGGCAGAGUUGGAGCCGGAGGAGAAUGAUGAAUGGAAUCGCGGGAACUUCGCAUAUUGACAGUCGCGAGCGGGUUCUCAAAUUAGGGGAGAGUUUUGAGAAGCAGCCGCGCUGCGCCUUCCACACUGUGCGCUAUGACUUCAAACCUGCUUCUAUUGACACUUCUUGUGAAGGAGAGCUUGAAGUCGGCAAAGGUGAACAGGUGACAAUUACUCUACCAAAUAUAGAAGGUUCAACUACACCAGUAACUGUUUUCAAAGGUUCAAAGAAACCUUACUUAAAAGAAUGCAUCUUGAUUAUUAACCAUGAUACUGGGGAAUGUCGACUAGAAAAACUCAGCAGCAACAUCACUGUAAAAAAAACAAGAGUUGAAGGAAGCAGUAAAAUUCAGUAUCGUAUAGAGCAGCAGCAGCAACAAAUGCGGAAUUCAACUAGGACUCCCAAUCUUGUAAAACAUUCUCCAUCGGAAGACAAGAUGUCCCCAGCAUCUCCGAUGGAUGAUAUUGAAAGAGAACUGAAGGCAGAAGCUAGUCUAAUGGACCAGAUGAGUAGUUGUGAUAGUUCAUCAGAUUCCAAAAGUUCAUCAUCUUCAAGCAGUAAGGAUAGUUCUAGUGAUUCAGAAGAUGAAGAGUGCAGAUCCUCUCCUUCUGAUCCAGGGAAUUAUGUCUCAGAACAUCCUACCAUGUCUACCAUGCCACAGUGCAGGAUUCCUGACAUAGUGGCUGGUCAUAAUAAACUUCAUGACAGCAAUGGCCUCCUGAUGAAUACUUUAAUCCCCCUUUUCACAGUAGCCUGGCAGCUGUCCCAACUGCCUACCGAAGCCAAAUGCUUGAAGAGAGAGAGAGUAAGGAGCCAGCCAUGAAUCUCUUCCAGAAAAAUGAGUUCAAGGAAACUCCUUUUUUACCUGUCUCCCCUGAAGAGGUACCACCUCGACCCCCCAGCUUUCCAAAGAAGCCAUCUCCGAAAAUCUGUGGCUCCAACUAUCCACUGAGUAUUGUCUUCAUUGUGGUGAAUGAAUUCUGUGAGCGCUUUUCCUAUUAUGGCAUGAAAGCUGUGCUGACCCUGUAUUUCCUGUAUUUCCUGCACUGGAGUGAAGACACUUCCACAUCUGUAUACCAUGCCUUCAGCAGCCUCUGUUAUUUCACUCCCAUCCUGGGAGCAGCCAUUGCUGACUCAUGGUUGGGAAAAUUCAAGACAAUCAUCUAUCUCUCCUUGGUGUAUGUGCUUGGCCAUGUGAUCAAGUCCAUGGGUGCCUUACCAAUACUGGGGGGACAAAUGUUACACACAGUCCUAUCAAUGGUCGGCUUGAGUCUAAUAGCUUUGGGGACAGGAGGUAUCAAACCCUGUGUGGCAGCUUUUGGUGGAGACCAGUUUGAAGAAAAACAUGCAGAGGAACGGACUAGGUACUUCUCAGUCUUCUACCUCUCCAUCAAUGCAGGGAGCUUGAUUUCUACAUUUGUCACACCCAUGCUGAGAGGAGAUGUGCAAUGUUUUGGGAAAGACUGCUAUGCAUUGGCUUUUGGAGUUCCAGGAUUGCUUAUGGUGAUAGCUCUUGUUGUGUUUGCAAUGGGAAGCAAAA